rnacentral:rRNA from 1 species
GACGAACGCUGGCGGCGUGCUUAACACAUGCAAGUCGAACGGAAAGGCCCUGCUUUUGCGGGGUUCUCGAUUGGCGAACGGGUGAGUAACACGUGAGUAACCUGCCCUUGUCUUUCGGAUAACUUCAGGAAACUCGGGCUAAUACCGCAUAUGAGCUCCUGCUGCAUGGUGGGGGUUGGAAAGUUUCGGCGGUUGGGGAUGGACUCGCGGCUUAUCAGCCUGUUGGUGGGGUAGUGGCUUACCAAGGCUUUGACGGGUAGCCGGCCUGAGAGGGUGACCGGACUCAUUUGGACUGAGAUACGGCCCAGACGCAUACGGGAGGCAGCAGUGGGGAGUCUUGCACAAUGGGCGGAAGUCUGAUGCAGCAACGCCGCGUGCGGGAUGACGGCCUUCGGGUUGUAAACCGCUUUCGCCUGUGACGUAGCGUUAGUGACGGUAAUGGGUAAAGAAGCAACGGCUAACUACGUG